CCUCAACCCCAGCAAGCAGAACGGGACUGUGAGGCUGCAGAAACAUCCCCCCUUGACCUCUCUGCUCUAUUAUAAGAAUUUCCUGUGCUUUCCUCGGAUGCAAUUAAUCACUUCAUCAAAAGAAACCUAAUACUGAUACCCUCCAAUACUUACAAUCACUGGAUUUCUGAAUGAGAACAACCUGUGCUGGCAGCAUGGCCUGAGUGCAGUC